CUCUUCUUUUCAGAAAGAUAUCAGGCAAAAAAUUAUAAGAAACUAAACAGGAUUAAAAUAAAUUAACAUAUAAAUAAAAAAAAGAAAAAGAAACCACAAAGUCCCAAAGUGCACUGGGAUUGACAAGUGAUGGCUUUGCGAUGGCUAAAAGACAGCAGUGGCCACGCUUGCUUGCUUACUGAUUGGUCCUCUCUCCUGUGUGGAUCCUACACUCUAUUAUUGGUGGGCACACCGGUAGCUCCUCCCCCUGUCUCUAUACAAUGAAUCUAGUAAUGUCUGGUAAGGUCUGGCGGCCCCUUGUCUGGACGUGGUGGUGAAAAAGUGUUAAUAAGAUAUGAUCGUCUUUUUUUAUUAUUAUUAUUGUGCGUGCAUUCCAACAUCCGCAUGUACACGUUGCGUUCGGUAGACAUCAUAACGACAGGUGGAGAAGAAAUAAAAACACAUUCAACCAAAGGGUCGUCGUCCCCUAUACUGGAAUGUAGAGAUCAUAAAAACCAAGCAUUCAAGGGGUUAAUAACAGGGACAUUGUUUCUUUGUUUUUUUUGUCUGUCUCCGUGGUACCGUCUCGCCUCCUUCAGCGUAGUAGUCAGAGAGUUGGCGAAGAAGUCUCUUUGGUACUAGUAAAACCUAUGAGCUGUGUACAUCUAUCUACUUCCUCCACUGUAUAAUAAUGGUGAUAGUAAUUAGGCCCUCCGAGCACAGACCUGUGGAAGGAUUAAGAAUUCUGGUCAGAUGUGUACUCCUCUCAAUGUGCGUGUCCCAAAUGGCACCCUAUUCCCCAAAUAGUGUGCAACUCUUUCACCAGAGGCCAAUGGGCCCAUGGAAAAAGCAACGCACUGAAAUAGGGAGUGGGGCGUGAUUUGGGAGUUGGGCGGAGCAGAUUCUGGUCAGAUGUGGACAACCGUCAGACGGAGCGACGUUUCCCCAAUACACUCUGGAGGAUAAAAGAGAGCUUCCUCAGAAGAUACGUGAUGGCCUCACAAAGAGGACAGGGAUUCAGGUGAAGACGAAGCAUCACCCGGCUUCAUGUGUUGUCCCCCCAUUCAGCCGGAGGAUGCUGAAGCCAGCCCCACGGCGUGAGCGGCAGCUCCCUGUUCUGUUCCUGAAUCAGGUGGUUUCCCUCUCAGCAAGCAGGCAGACAGGCAGGGAGGUGAGACAGACGGUGUUGUGUAUUCUUUCUCUCUUCACUCUCCGUCUCAUUCACUCUCCUGCGGUGUCUUUAAGGGGGGCUCUUGCUGGCAAUUAACCAGCGCAUCUGAAAGAUAUAGGACAAAUGUUAUUGUCUCUCUGCAAGCCAUUUCUACUAAUGACUGGUCAUGCAAAAACACAUUAGCUGAAUUCCCUGAUUUUCCUGAAAUCUUGUAUGGAAAUUCCACAGGUGUUGACAACUAUACACACUGGAUC
ensembl:lncRNA